GCCUGAGUGGCUCAGUCGGUUAAGCGGCCGACUUCGGCUCAGGUCACAACCUCAGGGUUCGUGGGUUCAAGCCCCGCGUCGGGCU
rfam:Felis catus isolate Cinnamon breed Abyssinian chromosome X, whole genome shotgun sequence.